rnacentral:lncRNA from 1 species
CUCCAGGAAGAUGGGAACUGGCUCUGUCCCACCCUGCAUGGUACCUUUGGUACUCCUGGAGACAAGGCACAUGCUACUGCUGAAAUCUUACAUGAAGAAAAAUAACACUCAUGACAUCUACAACAGUUUCAAGGGUUCAAGGAGAAGCUAAAAAGUACAGCAAAGGCAGUUCCCCAGGCCACUUCUUCCUAUGGAGCUGCAAACAAGUGGGGUUAAUGGGAUUGACCCCAGCUCCCAGGGAGGGCCCUACUGGCCUAAGCCAACUAGCACACAGCGACUCUGGCCAAACUAAUUGAAUAAAGUGUUGGUAUGGGAUCUAAAUUAGCAAAAUCAGUGAAACUCAAGAAUUUUCACUUUUUCAAGGGG